ACGGGAGGCAGCAGUGAGGAAUAUUGGUCAAUGGGCGAGAGCCUGAACCAGCCAAGUAGCGUGAAGGAUGACUGCCCUAUGGGUUGUAAACUUCUUUUGUUCGGGAAUAAAGGAGCCUACGCGUAGGCUUUUGCAUGUACCGUUCGAAUAAGCAUCGGCUAAUUCCGUGCCAGCAGCCGCGGUAAUACGGAAGAUGCGAGCGUUAUCCGGAUUUAUUGGGUUUAAAGGGUGCGCAGGCGGCACGUUAAGUCAGCGGUGAAAUGUCGGGGCUCAACCCGGGCACUGCCGUUGAAACUGGCGAGCUUGAGUACGGAUGAAGUUGGCGGAAUGUGAUGUGUAGCGGUGAAAUGCUUAGAUAUGUCACAGAACACCGAUUGCGAAGGCAGCUGACUAAUCCGCAACUGACGCUCAGGCACGAAAGCGUGGGGAUCGAACAGGAUUAGAUACCCUGGUA
rnacentral:rRNA from 1 species